rnacentral:rRNA from 1 species
GAUGAACGCUGGCGGCGUGCCUAAUACAUGCAAGUCGAGCGAACGGACGAGAAGCUUGCUUCUCUGAUGUUAGCGGCGGACGGGUGAGUAAAACGUGGAUAACCUACCUAUAAGACUGGGAUAACUUCGGGAAACCGGAGCUAAUACCGGAUAAUAUUUUGAACCGCAUGGUUCAAAAGUGAAAGACGGUCUUGCUGUCACUUAUAGAUGGAUCCGCGCUGCAUUAGCUAGUUGGUAAGGUAACGGCUUACCAAGGCAACGAUGCAUAGCCGACCUGAGAGGGUGAUCGGCCACACUGGAACUGAGACACGGUCCAGACUCCUACGGGAGGCAGCAGUAGGGAAUCUUCCGCAAUGGGCGAAAGCCUGACGGAGCAACGCCGCGUGAGUGAUGAAGGUCUUCGGAUCGUAAAACUCUGCUAUUAGGGAAGAACAUAUGUGUAAGUAACUGUGCACAUCUUGACGGUACCUAAUCAGAAAGCCACGGCUAACUACGUG